AUGUUGUAUGAAUGGAUCUAUAUUCAAAGGGACUCGAACUGUACACCGAUCACAAACUCAGACAAAAAUUUUUCACAAAGGCACAAAGCACUGCGCAGAAGCUGCACCAAUCCUUGCCGUCCCUGGCAGCAGAAUGGUAGAAGGUGGGAGAGACCAGGAAUCCUUCCAGGCUGUGCUGACUUUAGAAAUGAGGAUUGCACACGUUUGUCUCCUGAACCAAAAGGAGAUAAGCAGCAGAAUUUAUCAGGCGUGAAAGGGACAGCCUCCUGGUGGCCUGCCAAAAACCCAGAAUAAAGGCGAAGUUGUGCUUCAAAGCUCAGUCGCUUGCUGAGUCUGGCUAAAGUCAAGUAUUAAGAUCCACCAUUUUCUGAGCCAUGCUAGAAAAGAAGAAAAAAGUCAGGACGGUUGCUGCUUUCCAAGUCUCCGUUGGCACCAUCACAAAAUCUCAGUCGUAAGGUCACAUGAUUCUCUGCCAAAUGUAGAGUGCAUUCCCAUCAACCAUUCUGCUGAUACUGCGAAGGCAGCUAUUGUCUCGUUUAGACCCAAAGUUCAGCCCACUCUUCAUUGAAUUAGCUGAAAAACGCAUCACCUUUGGGGGCUGGGAGUCAUGGAAACGUCUACCUGGCAAGCUGCCCACUUUUUCUGCCCAUCAACCAGAGAUGGAAUUGUGCUGCCUAAUGCAAUGAUGACUUGGAAUGUGAAGAGUCGUCCAAAGUGAAUCUGAUUCUUGCAACGCCUGUUUCAGUUUGCACAGAAAACUCUGGCUUCUUGUAGUUAAGGGUGUGUGUGUGCUGGGGGGGAAUCCUUCAGACUAAAUGUAGCAAAUAAAGGUCUGAACAUGCCUACUCCGUAACUUUAU
ensembl:lncRNA